rnacentral:rRNA from 1 species
CAAGAGCGUAUAUUAAAGUUGUUGCAGUUAAAAGCUCGUAGUUGGAUUUCUGGUACAACGCGCCUGGCCCGCUUACGUGAGUGCCGGUGCGCGUUUGCCAUCCUUCUAGAAAACGUCUCUACUCGGGCAACUGAGCCGGAUUCGCGAUCUAGAUCUUUACUUGAAAAUUAGAGUGUUUAAAGCAGGCUAUUGCCUUGAAUACAUUAGCAUGGAAUAAUAAUCUAGGACUUCGGUUCUAUUUUGUUGGUUUCUAGUACUGAAGUAAUGAUUGAUAGGGAUAGUUGGGGUGCUAGUAUUGACCGGCCAGAGGUGAAAUUCUUGGAUUCGGUCAAGACUAACUUAUGCGAAAGCAUUCACCAAGGAUGUCUUCUUUAAUCAAGAACGAAAGUUGGGGAUGCGAGAUGAUUAUGA